UCUCCUCCUGGGCGCGUCCUGCCAUCCUUGGCACAGACUGUCCCCAGGGCCCAAGAGGGCGGGGAGAUUGCUCCCAUUCGGGGCUCACUGCUCUCCAGACCCUGCCUCUUCCAUUGCACAGGAAGCCUGGGGGAGCUCCUGGCCAGCCGGGUCUGGAACGCGGAAUGAACUGCUUUCGGCCUUCGUCAGGUCCAAGUCUCCGUGAAGACCAGAUGGCACACGCAAGAUGGUGUUACUCUUGUACUGGGGACCCCGAAGGAUGGCCUAUAUCACAGCAAACCCACUACUCUGCCAGCACUCAGAGAAGAAAUGGGAAAUGCAUGUGCAGCAGUCUCAGUGACCGAAGCAGCAGUUUGUUGUACUAAUAACUGUCUGCAAGCUCAUGGCCACUGCUUUGAGCACUUCUUGUAAUUGUGGAGGCCAAGGGUAACGUAUUAAUCUCAUGAUAUCUCAAUAAAUUUAGUAUUAAAAUA